AAAAAGGUAGAACCGUGGGGGUCUAGAGCAAAAAAAAUAAGAAGCGGGGGAUGGAAAGGAAGAGCUGCAUAAUUUGGAGGUUGUCUUUGCAAAAAAUGCCCUUGAGCAAAGCAAAUGGCAACUUGAAGAAAAGUACCAGGCUUUUUGAGGGGUUAGAUUUCCAUUUCUUUUUUUCUCUCUUCUUUUCUUUUUUGUAAUUUUAACCCUUUUUUUUUCACCUUUCUGGUAUAAAGUAAGUCUGGUCAGUUUAUGGAUGCUAUCUUUAUGUAGAAUUUUGCCUUGUACUGCCUCAGCUUCAGAC
rnacentral:lncRNA from 1 species